GGUGCUACAUUCUAAGCUCUAUCCAUGUGCAUCAUGCCCGCAGAACUUCAGCCACACACACAUAUUCUCCUCCUCGAUUCAAACUAAACGAGAACGUAUUCAAGGUCCAUACCUUAUUCACUCAGAUCCUCUCAUCUUCAAAUUCUUAUUUACUUCCCUUUUAUUCUAAUUUUCUCUUAAAUUUUGUUUAAAUUAAUUGUUUCGUAACCAUAAUCAUUUCCCUUAUAUUUUUAUUCAUUUUCUUCCGUUAUUUAU
rnacentral:lncRNA from 1 species